ACCCCUACCUACUAUACUCACCGUUUCCUGCGCUUCUCUCUACGAACCAGCGAAUAACCUUAGUUACUUUGCUCGACUGUUAGGUUCCUGAAGCUGAGGCUGAAGUAGGAAACUCUCCGUUCCUAGGAGAGUCCUAGGAGCCGAUAUAACUUUGUUCCUGGGGGUGCAGUACUGCUUCACGAAGUCGGCCCUCGAUCCUACGGCCACCUCACUCGCUCACUCACUCACUCUAAGAAGGAUGACGAUGAUGGCGAAUCUUCUCAACGAGCCUCUCUCCACGCAUGUUUUUACAAUGUGUGUUUUUGAAAAAGUUAAGAAAAUAUAUCAUCUUUUCUUUUCUAGAGAAACUUAA
rnacentral:lncRNA from 1 species